UACGUAGGAUGCAAGCGUUAUCCGGAAUGAUUGGGCGUAAAGCGUCUGUAGGUGGCUUUUCAAGUCCGCCGUCAAAUCCCAGGCUCAACCUCGAGACGCCGAUGGAAACCCCCUAACUAGAGUCCGGAAGAGGAGAGUGGAAUUCCUGGUGUAGCGGUGAAAUGCGCAGAUAUCAGGAAGAACACCCGUGGCUAAGGCGGCUCACUGGACCGGUACUGACGCUGAUGCGCGAAAGCGUGGGGAGCAAACGGG
rnacentral:rRNA from 1 species